rnacentral:lncRNA from 1 species
AAAACACGCCUAAAAAAAUUUUAAAAUACCCAAAAACACUCAUACAUCAAUAGUCUUUUCCCUAACAACCUCCAACCCCGUUUAGGGUAUAAUCGAAUCGAGUCGAACUCGAGUAGUGUAAUUAAAAAAACUUGGAUUCGAACUUAAGUUCGAACUCUUUGAAUUCUUGAAAGUCAAGUUCAAACUCGAAUUCGAUUUUAUUUUACAUUACUCGAACUUAUGUUCAUUAAGCCCAAUCGAGCUUAAUUAAGCUUAAUUGAGUUUGAAAAAAAUAUAAAUUCAUAUAAUUUUAAACAAGAAACAAAAUAGAUUUUUUAUCCUAAAAAUAUAUGUGUGUGUAUGUGAAGUUUGAUUGAACUCGAUUAAGCUCAAGAAACUUUCAACUUUCAUGUAUUAAGUUCGAACUCAACUUAUUAAAUAGUUCAAGUAGAUCAAACUCGAGUUUAAACUCGAUCAAUACAAGUUCGAAUUCAAACUUUGAUUGAGCAAGCUCGCGUGUUAUUAGAUUAGGUUGGACUCAUUUGCACUUCUAACCGUACCUUCCCCACUACCCAGCAUAGUAAGAGAAAAAUACUCUAACUAGGCGACCGAGAAGGAAAGUAAAAAGAAGUGGACAAAAACAUCAAUGAACUUUAAGCAAAGGAUUCAAUAGCAAUUUGCCUUUACUGUUUAAAAGAAAUUUUCAUGUUCCGUGACUUCAUUAGUUCUGGUGUUCUGAUCAUUAGUCUUCUGGGGUUCUAAUCGUUAGUUUUUACUCCAACAGACAAAUUCCGCUGCCCGACUUCUCAACUCGUAGAUUCUUUCUUUCCCCAUAAUUUUGGGGGGGAAAAAAUGAAGAUCACCGCAUAUUCUCCUAAAUCCUCCAGCUGGAUUCUUCUUCUGCUGACUCUUUCUUUUCUUCUUACGUCGUCGUUUGCUUUCCAAUCGGACGAGCUCCUCGUGGACGACGAAGAAUUCGGUCUUGAAGGGGGCUCGGGAUCCACCCCUGAUGUGGGCUCCACUAUUCCAGCCCGACCAUCUCAGCCGGCCCGGAAAAGGUCUCCUCCGGAUUUUAGUUCCGGAUCCGACCUAGACUCCAAGGUCCAGUUCACUCUGGAGCACGCCUUCGGUGACUCCGAUUUCUCUCCUGCCGGUACCUUCGCUGCCCGGGUAAAGAAUUCGCCGCAUAGCGGUCAGGUUCGUGCCCGACCCCUUAAAAUUUUACUUUUUUCAGUACAUACACGUGAUUGUGGGCUUAGCAGCAGUACUCAAUGCUUUUUCAGUCUUUGAUUGCGCAGGUAGUUUACUUGUAUUAUUUACACGUCUAGAGUUGCUGGGGUUAAAUGUUUUAAGCUUUAAUGCUGACUGAUUAGUGGAGUGAAUUGUUGUACGUGAUCAAUUGGAGCUGUACCUCACUCGAACUCCUACUUAGUUGAAUCAAUUUUUUUGCAUUUGAUUAGUUACAUGCUAUUGCUAUGCUAGGAUUUUAGUAUAAAUGCUGACAUAUUUAUGUAUAGAACAUGGAUUUUGUUUAAAUUAUUGUAGAUGGCUAUGUUGAGCGUUUCUUGAUAUGUAUGGAACAGACUCUGACAAAGCUUCGAUUCUCGAGGACUGAUUUUACUGCUGCAGAUAAGGAUAAUUUCAAAGUAAUUGUUUAUUUUGCGUGCUUUUUUUUGGCUCAAUAUCCAAUUUUGAAGGAUUGAAUGUUAUGAACUAUUGAUGAAUAUUUUUUGCAGAAACUUCUGGAAGCUGAUGACUUUUAUAGGAUCAGAAUACCAUCAAAUCUAUUAACUCCUCCUGGCAUAGAUUAUGUUAUUUCAUCUGUGAAAGCGGUAAGUUUGAAUCUGCAAUGUUAUUGACAUGCACUAUACUUUGUUUGACUUGAGGACAAGUAUGUCAUUGAGCGUGCAUGCCAUGUUAUGUACCAUAAAGCAUGAAUCUUGUUUAUAAUUUAAUGCUUGCGUGUCAUGGUGUGUGCCAUAAAGCAUUAAUCUUCUUUUCCCCAGAACUGAGAAAAGCUUUUUUUUUGCUUUAGUUUUAAAAUUUAGUACCCUAUACAUCAGAAAUUAACUUUAUUUAAAGUUUGACAACGUUUUAAGUGCAUAUUGCAUUAUUUGAACUAAAACUUUUUGACUUAUAGUUACUCAAUGCACUUGUCACUUUGAAUAGUUCCUGGUCUUGCCAUUUGACUGUUUUCUUUCAUCUGAUAUUGAAAUGGUAUAGGAGUUUUUUGCACUUAUCAUUGGUAUGGUGAUGCAUUGGCAUGAUUAAAGGGGUUCUGUUUUUAUUUUUCUCCCCAUUCUUCUCCUUUGAGCUAUGCACUGCAAAACUUUGACAUGGUGCUGAUGCUUUUUAUGACUUCCAGAGAUGUCUUCCACGUCAUGGCUUGGAUGAGCACAUUGUCAUUCACAUGGUAUUAUUCAGUGCCAGAUGUUCUAUAUUGCAUGAACUAAAUCCUUGAAUAUGAUUUUUCUUAAUCUUUUUCAGGACUUCUGCCUUUUGUGUUAAAUUAUUCUAAAGCAUAUCCUGUAUAACUUUGGCUGUCUGCAUGUAGCACAGCGUCAUACUUUCAUAUCCACGUGUUCUUUGAAAGCAUAUCAUGAGACUUCUAUGAAUUGGUGAAUGUGUCAAAUAACCACAUUCCUUUAUGAAUUCUAGGAUUGAGAAAUUCUAUUGGAGGAUUUUGUGUUCUGUGUAGUCAAUAUACUUGGAUGGAUUCUUGUGCUUCAUGAAGGUUUUGCCAGUAUAUUUUGAAGUUUAAAAAAAGGUGAAAUAAUGAAUAAAAUAAUAUUCUUCUUCUUAAAACUAUUCUGUCAGUCUAAUGCUGUACUUCCAGCUUUUGACUUUUUCAUUGUACCUACGAAUGCUGGUGCAGCUGACUGAACUUCAUGCCAGUUGACAUAAAACCCAUGUUUGUUGUUUUAUGUAUCUGCUUCUACCUCAAUUAUAACGACUUAUAUGUCAUGAACAUAAGAUCAAUUUUGGUGGAUUUGUAUAUUCUUCUAGUCGUUGUUAUUUGACCUAACCAUGUAAUAGCCUCUACCUUGCAUGUUGAGGAAGAUGAAAUGAGCUGAGAAAGUUCCAAUGCUUUGUUGAAGUAUGCUACUGGAAUAAACAAAGUCUAUUCCUGGACAUUUGCUAAUGUUUACCAUGCAAGUUCUCAUAUAUGCCUUUUCUUGUUUUAUAUUCAGGGUUUUAAUUUUUUGCUUCUAAUUUUGGACAUUUUCAAAUUUGACUUUCUUUUGUUGUGGCAAUACAUGCUUCAUUAUUUGCUUAUAUACAAUUCCAGGAUGGUGUCAAUGUCUUGGCUGUUAACUAUGGUUCUCAAGGAGCAUGUCAAUAUCCUCGGCACUUGAAAUUUGUAAGUGCAUACUUAGCAAUUCGUUUUUUCCUUUCUUCCCUGACCUUGUUUUAAUACUUGUAGUAGCCAGAAUAAUCAUUUAAAGUUUCCUGUAUUUGAUCGAAAUACAUCAGUCGAUCUUGCUGGACACUUAAUUUGGAAUAUUGACUGACUCGGAUAAUUUGAAGAUUUGUAAGGGUUGCUACCUUUUCCUGUAGAAGUACUAUGAUUAUACCAUGCCUUUUAAGUUGUAGGGAACUGUUGACUGAAAAACUGCUAUGGGUAGAUAUCAUUUUAUGUCUUAAUAUGAUUUUAUUGUCUCUUUUGCAGCCAAAAAGGUGGUUGUUUAACUCGCACACUGUCUUAAAGAGUGGUGAGCAGGCGCCAAGGUGAUCUUCUAGUUUGUAUGAUUUUUGCUUUAGUUUUUCCCGUUGUUUAUUAGGGUGUCUUUUGUAACCAUAUAGUGAUUGUCAUCCUUCUUGUGUUUUGCUGUGGUGCAAAUAAUGUAAUUCAUCGUUGCUAAACCAAACUUUGUUUAAGUCGAAGCACUUUCAAUUUCACAAAUUUACUGGACCAUUUGGGGAAUUCACUUGAUUUAAUAUUGUUUAUUUGUUUUAUACUCAUUAGGAGGAACGAAUAUGCUACAUUUCCUUUUGAUACCCUUUAUUUUCCCUUGUUUACAUAUUCAAGUUUGUUUUUAUGAUUGGGAUUGGUAUGUAAUUGACCAAAUAUUUGAAACAGAACUCCAGUACUUUCCCUUGUCUACAUCUUCAAGUUUGUUUUUAUAAUUGGGAUGAGUAUGUAAUUGACCAAAAUAUUUGUAACAGAACUCCAGUAUUUUCUGAAGAAACUGCUGUUGGUGAGAAUGGAGAAGGUGAAGGAGUAGCACCUCCAGAGAGAUCAUUUUGGGCUAAAUAUGUGAGAAUCACUAUAGCCAUAUACUUGUGGUUGUUCCUGAUCUGAUAAUGAGAUUUACUGGUGCUUCUUUUGGUGUUCAUUGUUCUUCCAUCUCUCUUUCAGUGGAUGUACUUGCUUCCUCUGGGACUUAUUGUGAUGAAUGCUAUGACCCAAGCAAUGAACAUGCCUGAGGAACAACAGGGUGGUGGACAAGCUGGCUCUCAGGUGCAGCAACGUGGACAAAGUGCUGCAGUGCGAAGAAGAUGAGUGGGUUAGUUCGUACGUUGUAGAUCAUGUUUCAACAACUAUUUUUGUUCAGCCCUGAUAGUUAUUCCUGAUCUUAGUUUUAUUCGCAUUUUGUAAGGUUGUCUCGAAAUCUAGGUUCUCUCUCAUUUUAAAUGUGAUUUCCAUGAGGUUUUAAAAUCUCAUUACACUUGUAAGGUGGUUUUGACUUUUGGAAUUCAAUAUUCGGUACUGGUGAUGUUUCUCUCUUUUUUUACUUUUGCAAAUAAGGCAUGCAUGCUUUGAUGUUGGCAAGAUGAUGUAUGAGAAGGUAGAGAAUAUAUACAGAUUUUUGGCUAAUGCAAUAAAAAGUUAAGACAGUGUGGUUUAGGAUCGAUUUUCUGAAGUUUAGCAGACCCUUUCUGCUUUUUCUUUAGAAAUUAGGAUUUUAGUCACAAGAUUCACACAGAAUGAGUAGGGCCUGAAGUUGGUUAUUAUUUGUCUUCUGCUUAUGAAUGAUUUCAUAUAUUAAUGUCUGUAAUGAAUUUAGAUGCCAUCAAUUCUAUGUGCCAUCAUUUCUGUGAUGUUAAUUUGUUAUAGUGCUAGCUUAAUGUAUCUGACAAGAUUCUCAAAUUUUGUGUUUGAAAAACUUAUUCUUCUUUGGCCCUUUCAUUGUUCGCUCUGUAGUUCCUAAGUUGUUGGGAUUAGCCUGUCCUUGCCGCCAAAGCAACUCGCCUUGGUUCACCUGAGAAGAUAUUUUCAUCCAAUGGAAAACCUAGUGCUGUUGUUGCUCUAGUUACAGAACAUCGUAUGGAGGGGGUGAUAUGAGUUGUACCAUACAGCGCUUUUAUAUACCGUAGGUUUUGAAGCAUGGACUACAAGUAAUUUGGUAUAGGAGCACCUGUAUUUUUGCUCUUGUGUCACUUGUGGUAGAAUAUUUCUUGUUACCUGACCCUCCUGGCACUAGAUGGUCCAGUAUUUGUCAAGUCGUAGUAGAUCUAUUCAUGUGUUGUACUUUCUCUUGGAGGUGAGGUGAAUGUGAACUUUUGUCUAAUGUAUGCAAUUGAUUUUACUGUUAACUGCACUAUUUGUAGUUUAAAAAAAUUUGUGUUAAUAGAACAACAAUGCAUUUAGAACCAGAUAAUGCAUCACCACAGUGUUUCUUAAGCUUGGGAAAUGCAUAUAUGUAGUUGACUGUAAUUCUUGUGGUACAGGAUGAAGGAAAUAGGUCUGAACAGGAGUUUGCGUUGGCCAGUCAUCAAUAUGAAAGCAUUACAUGCAAGGUUAUUUUUGCCUGGCUGGAAAUCCAGUUUGGAUCUCGUCCGUCUUGUUGGAAUUUUGGAAGCAAGUUCUUUUCCAGCACACUGGUUUGGACUGAUGUUUUAGCUUGUGCCCGUCCCAUAGUCUUUUUUGCUUUGAGGUGGCCAAUACUUGAUGCAUCCACAAUUUUUUCAAAGAAAAUUUCCUGGAUAGUCCCAUGCUGAACAUUCAUGUAUGAUUACUAUUAUUUUGGUUGUGGCCCAUAUUUUGUAACUUACAAAUUUGAACUUUAGUUAUUUAGUUAGUAUUUAAAAGUGACUUGUCAAACUCAAGUGAAUUAGAUGAAUCAUUAGAAAAGAUAACCAUGUCAAUGAUUAUUUGAAUGAGACAGUUGCUAGAUUUUAUACCCCACAAAAAUGAGAAAAUAAAAUUGAGAAAGAAGGAUGCAAGGGCUGGUGCCUAACAGGUUUAUUUGAAACUUAUUAUGGCAUCUCCAUACUUGGAAGUCGUAAACACGGGGAUUAAUUGGAAAAGACAAUUAAAGGGGAAGCUUCCUCAACAUCAUAAUCAUAAACAUGGUUUUACUUAAAUAACUACAUAUUUUAUUCAAUAAUUAUUUUUUUUAAUUCUGAAUUCAACUAAAAGUUGUGUUUAUCGAAUGGUACAAAUGAUUAUAUUAUGUGGAUCUGGUAAGAAACCGAGUAAUUUUUCUCGAGUUUGUGCUCUAAGGGCGCUCUUGAAUCAAGCUCGAGUAGUACCAAACCUUUAUUGGUUAUUUCAUAAUUAUAAUUAAUAUAUUAUAUAAAUAAUAAUAAAUACUCGAGUUAUUCAAUGAGCACUCAAGUAGCACAAAACAAUGCGCGAAAUUAACUUGUUUUCUUUGUUGAGUAACUUGAACUCGAGUUCAAACUUGAUCAACUCGAGUUCGAGUUCCAGCCGAGUGUUUGACCGAAUUACUCUUGAGCGGCUUGACUCGCCAUCAAGCCUAUUGUGCUCUUUUACUCUAUAUUUUGUUCACCAUUUUUAGUACCCCUUCAUAGUUGUUCACUAGUUUAAAGUCUAGUAUCAUUUCCGUGGUUGAGAGUAUUUGUACAACUUUAUUAUGAAGAUAAGCUCCCUAUCUACUUCAUCACAUCCCUGCCACCAGAUUGAAAAAGAUUAAAGUUUGUUUGAGAUUUGAGACAUUUUACGAGUUUCUUGUCUUAGGUGAUGCAUAGGCUUGGUGCUUAAUGUUUCAAAUUUGGCUUGUCCUUUUCUUUGAUUCGUUUUCCUGCCUUAUAUCAGGCGGAAUUCCUUUGCCAAAAGCUGUAAAAGUUGCCAUUUACAAUUGCAACUGUAGCAGCAACCAAAAAAAAACUAAAGUUAAAGAAGAAGUUCAUAUAAAUGCAUUUAUACACUUGAUAUUGACAAAAAAAAAUGUUUGCUUAUUAAUAGCUUUGACUUAAAAUUUGUAUAUCUCCACAUAAUGGGCAAUAUAUCACCAGCACAUUCAAUUAGUAGAGUGAUUGAAUCACUUUUAAAAGUUAUUUACAUUUGUAGUACCAUACGUUCUUCAUGAAUACAAGAAAAGGGUUGGAAUCAAUAUUUGAAACUUUUACAAAGAUAAUCUCACAUGUAAAUGUGUUACAAAUUUAAUCCCUCCUCCCUCCCAAAAACCACCUCAUUUUUAGAAGAAAAUAUCGAAAGAAGAAAAUAUAGAAAUCUUAUGGUAGAGUUUCACACUAAGGAAUUGGGGACAACUCCUCAACUUCGUCACAAAAAGGAAAUUUAAACGAAAAAAAAAUCUCAAUUGAAUGUUUGAUUGUUAAUGAAUUAACUUUUUAUACACUGACUGACUGAUAUUCUUACACUCGCAUAUGAUUUGAUUUGCUUAUUUUACUUACCAAAACGUUAACAAGAUCAUAUGCAUGUUGACUACGUCCAUCGUUAAUUUGCUAGCUUCACUUACUAAACACUAAAUGGUCCUAUACCAUUAACAAAAAUCCGUCAUAAAAGGAAAACUAGUUAAAUUCCUAUAAAUAGUUACCAAUUCUGCCACACUGUCUUUGUAAGAUUCCCACACAUGUACAUCAUGCCACAUGCAUAUGUAUUAGCUUCUUGUUAGAUUCAGAAGCUGUGCAAUGGCAUCAUCAUCUUCAUCGCAGAGAAUAAUGGAGAAGGCAGUGGAGAAGCCAGGAGCAGGUCAGAAGAACGAGCCCAAGAAUUUGCAUGUUGCCCAGCCGCAUGAGAUAAUUGAGAAGCUCAAGAACACAAAGGAUUCAGGUCAAAGAUCUUUCCAGUGGGCCUAUGAUGAGAAGCAGCUGCAGCAGGUUUGGGAGUGGCAAAGCAAGAUGAGUUUUCAAGAACUCUUGAGCCAUGUAAUUUAUGGAGAAGGAGAAGAAGUUGUGUGGGAUGAUGAUGUCUUUGGUGUGCAGCAAAACAAAGAAAUUUCCCAGCCCCAGCCACAGGUCUUUGUGGAGAAAUUCAAGGAUAAUUAGGUUAGAACUUUUGCAUGGGGAUGUAAAAAUUUCUGGCACGUAAAUUGGGCACUUUUUUUUUGGGUUGUACUAAUUUUCCUUUUAGUGGGUUGUACUAAUUUUCCUUUUAGCUGAAUUGGGGAAUGAAGUAGAUGAUUCCUGUAUCUUUAAAAAACAAAACAAAUAAUUUGGCAUUUUUCAAUUUAGAGCAUUUCGAAAGGUUUUGUUCAUUAAAGAAGGGAGAAAAUGGAGUUGAGAAAAUGUAGGAAAGACUUUUGAUAGGGGAGAUUUCCAGAAUGGUGAAAAUUUCAUAUAGGAGUUCUUCUAUAAGCUACUAUGGUAAAACUCCGCAACGACAAAAUUUACCUUCUAGUUAAAGUAUUUCAUUGGAGAAAUUCUCUUUUUUUUUUUUUUAUUUUCCUUUUGAAAUAGUAAUCUGAACACCUUUCAUUUGGCUAAAUUGGGAUUCAAUUACGUUUGUAUUUUUUAUUUAGUUUGAAAUGAUCAGGCCUUUCAUGAUUUAAACCAUUUUACAUUGUACACUAGUCUUUGAAUUUAGUGCCCUAUAAGUUUUUAUUAGAGAAGGGAAAAAAUGUAAUUGAGAAAAUAUGGGAAAGGUUGUUGAUAGGGGAGAUUACGUGAAUCGUGAAGAUAUAGUAAAGCUUUGCUAUGAACAUCUGUGCAUACUUCCAAUUGUCACAUUUGCUGAUUAAUUAUUUCAAGUCCAAAUAUUAUUAUGAGACUUUCAAUUACCACAUAUGCUAAUUAACUCUUUAAGUCUAGAUUUAUUGCGAGAUUUAGUCAGAAUUUUAAAGGGCUACUUUCUCAUGCGAGAAUAACGCAGGGUUGACAAGACUGUCACCUGGCAAAAUAAUUUGGUUGAUUAGCAUUAAACGUAAACAAUGCUUUGAGCAUUGGUUUGUCGUCUCACUUUUAGUCUUUUAAAGCAAACAAAUGCUUAAUUUCUUCAUGUCAAAUCCCAACUCAAUUAAUUAUUAUUCACCAAAUAUUAAUGGGAAAAUCCUCAUUAUUCAAGAACCAAAUGGCGUACAGUCUUCUUUUUUUUUUUUCCUCCCCUUGUCUAAUUAUGCACCAGAUAUUAAAGGUUCUCAUGUCGGGUUUUAUUUAACUGUUAUCCUAUUUAAAAAUUAAAAGGUACUAUGCCUGGAGGUACCAUAUUGUGAGGUAAAAAUUAAGAGCACAAAAGUUUAGGCGAAUAAAAGAUAAUAGGGAUAAUUUCAGAAACCUCCCCUGAGAUUUUUGACAAUUUUACUAAGCUCCCUUGAGUAGGGGUGUGCAUCGAAUUCGAAAUCAGUAAUUCGGAAAUUUGAAUUCGGAAUUUUUCGAAAUUUUGGUAUCUGAUAAUUCGACCAAAUUCGAUUUCGAAUUCGAAUUCGUACCGAAUUCAAUUCGGAAUUCGGUAAAUUCCGAUUUCACCGAAUUCGGAAAAAUUUAUAUAUUAUUAUAUAAUAUAAAAUUUAUAAUAUUAUAUAAUAUUAUAUUAUAUUAUAUUAUAUAAAUUUUAUAUAGUAUAAAUUUUAUAUUACAUGUAUAAAAAAUAUAUUUAUAUAUUAAAAACGAAUUUGAAAUCGAAAUCAGAAUUCGAAUUCCGAUUUGAAAAACUCCAUUACCGAAUUCGAACCAAAUUCUAAAUAUAUGAAUUCGGAAAACCCGAAUUCGAUUCCGAUUUCCGAUUUACCAAUUUCAAAAAUUCCGAAUUCAAUUCGAAUUCGGCCGGUAAAUCGGAAUUUUUCGAUUUUGCACACCCCUACCCUUGAGGAUUGGAAAAUUACACAUAUCUCUCUUAUCAUUUAAAAUGACAAUACUACCCUUAAAUAUUUUAAUGAAAUUCCCUUGUUUGGUAUUCUUACACUUAGAAUGAUUUUAAAAUUAUAUUUCAUUCUUUUUCCUUCUUAUUUUAAUUUUUUGCCAAUAAAAUUAUAAAAUUACUACUAUUAUCUCUAGUUUCUAUUGUAACCAAAUGUCGAACUAAUUUUUUUUUUAUGAGUUAACUUUAUACGUAAUCUGAUGUUUUUUGCUAAUCUUUGUUUUCUAAUUUUUAGUAUUAAAAUUAACAAUAAAUCAAAAAGAAAUUGCCCAAAAUCACUACUAAAUUAUGAUAAUCCCACUACUCAAAAAAUUCAUAAACUCUGAAUCAAUUAUUUCAACAUUUUAUUUUCUAUCUUAUGAAUCUAAAUCCAUAACAAAAUACUAUCAAAAGUAUCCUAUCAUAGUGAUAAAAUUAUUAUUAUAAUUGUUUAUCAAAUAGUAGGUAUGGACAUGAAAAAUUCGGCACUUUUUUCCUUAUAAUUACAUUAGAUAAUCUUAUAAUUCUAUAGGAAAAUAAAUUAAAUCUCAUUACACAAGGGCAUUUUUGGAUAUUCAUUUCAAAAUUUGACCAAGUAAAUAUUAUUUUAAGGUUUUGUUACUAAAACUAUCAAAUCAAGGGAGGUAUGUGUAAUUUUUCAAAUUUCAGGGGAGCUUAUUGGAAUUGUCGGAAACCUCAGGGGAGGUUUCUGAAAUUAUCCCAAGAUAAUAUAUAACCAAACAAAAUGGCAUCAAAAGGCCAAUGUAAUAUUAAAUACCAAGAUUAUAUACAAUAUUUGCAAUUGUCAUAUGGUUAAAUCUUUCGAUUGAAACAGGAUUAAGAGUAAAGAGGAAAAGUAAUCACAAUUAUCAACUGUGCCAAUUUUGUGUUUUUUAUUUCUUUGAGGAAGUGUUUUAGUGCCUAUAGUUCGUUUAAUUUGUUCGCGUCAAAAACAACACCUUUUGUCUCUUCCAACAAAACCGAGCAUAACAAAUCUUGGUUCAAUAAUAGAUAAAACAGCACAUAAUUUCAAGACUCAGAGUAGCAUUUUAAGCAUAUAAACUCAAAACGUUUACUUUGCUAUGUUUCCUUCAAAGUUUUUAUAAGCUGCUUUUCUUUGCUUGUAAAUGAGACAUGGAUGUAAAUAUACUUCGCUAUUAGGAAUCAUACAAAAUAAACAUGAAACAAGAAAGUAGAUGAAGGAAAUAUAGGUCAUCUAUGCCCACCUUUCUAAUCAAAUCAAAGGCUGGAAAUAUGUAUAAUUCUAUACUCAUUUUUUUUACAUUUUAUCUUCAGUUAUUUUACCAAAAUAGAAAUACAGCUAGAGCCUGUAUGAUGUCUUGUUCAAUAUAUUAUUCUCACAAGAUUAAUUCAUAAUAUGCAUUGAGUUUUUCAAUAGAACUAAUUAACUUGUGAUCAAUUAUAUAUGUUGUUGGAACCUUUCACUUUAUCUGUCGUACCCAUGUUGAAUUCUUGACUUUCCACUAGAGCACCCCUAAGUCCAAGUAAAAUGGAUAACCAGACUUGUGCUAUUUUUGAAGGAUCAUUUUUUGACUCUUGCAUCAUUUUGCUUACAUUACUUGCAUGAUUUUAGAAGUGCAGCUUGAUCUUCACACCUGACGACCUAUGUGAUUUCUUCAAGUGAUGCUUCCUGGUUAAGAGUUGAGACCUUAGCAAGGCCUUUUCGAAGCCAAUUGUUGCUGCAAAUGUUUACAAUCAAGAUGAGUAUUCAACGAUUGGAACUCUUGUUGAUGAUAGGGAAGUUUCCUGGAUUUCUAGAGGCUAGAAUAUUGUUGUUCAGGUACUGGAUUAAUAUGCCAAAACAAUUUCUGAUUCCAUCCAUCGGAAUUAUCCCCGUUACAAUAUAUUGCACUGCCCCCAUUACAAUACUCAUCAAUGGAUUUCAUUUCAAUUUUCAUGCUUGUUAUCCAAAAACAAAAAAAUUAUGUUCUUAAUAAUUUGGAUACUCGUCAACACACUUAAUUUAAAUUUUUUUUCCCUUUAACUUAUCGCGUUAAUACACACAAUCAUAAUUAGUGUGCUUCUAUAUUUAAGCACUUUCCAAAUUAACCACACCUUUUUUAAAAGAAAACUAACACCUAAGAUCUCUCUAAUAAGAGUUGCGUUGUUUGAUUUGCUUCACUUAAGUCAGCAAACAUUAAUAAUAUCUGAUAACAUAUAUUAGCCAACGGAAAACUGAUUAAAUUCCAAUAUUUAGUUACCAAGUUUGCUACACAAUAUUUAUUAGCAACCGUUACAUGCAUUUCCUGCAUUAGCCAUAAAAACACUGUCAUUAGCUUUUUGAUGGACUGUAAUUCAGGAUAUGCAAUGGCAACAUCAUCGGAAAGAACAAAGGAGAAAGCAACUGAGAAGGCAGUGGAGAAGCCAGAAGCAGCCCAGAAAAAGGAGCCCAAGAAUUGGCACGUCGCCCUGCCUUAUGAACUGAUCGAGAAGCUGAAGGAUUCCACGGAUUGGGGUCAAAGGUCUUUCCAGUGGACCUUUGAUGAGGAGCAGGUGCGACAGGUAUGGGAGUGGCAGAGCAAGAUGACCUUCGAAGAACUCUUCGGCCAUGUAUUUUUUGGAGAUGGAGAAGAAGCUUUGCGGGAUGAUGAUGUCUUUAGGGUGCAGCAAAUCAGAGAAACCUCCCAGCCACAGCCCCAGCAGUUCCAGUCUCAGGACUCUGUAGAAAAAUCAAAGGAUAAUUAGAUUUGCAGUUAAUUUUGCAUGGGGUGAUAAACAUUUCUGGCAUGUAAUUGGGCAACUUUUUUUUUUUUUUAAAUUGUAAUAUUGUAUUAGUAAAUUGGGCUCCUUUUAUUUAGCUGAAUUGGGAUUGGAUUAAAUAUCUGUUUUUCUAUUUAGUAUGUAAAUCACUUGCUAUUUUAUGAUUUAAAGCAUAUCAACCAAGUCUUUGAAUCUAGUGCCCUAUGAAGGGUUUCACUAAAGAAUGAAAUAGAGGUGAUUGGGCAAAUAUAGGAAAGAUUUUUUAAUAGGGUGGAUUUCCUGAAUCGUGAAGAUGGACAUAUCCAAAAAAAGCAUUGUAUAUGGUUUCUAUGGUAAAAAUUAGCAAUUAUAAAAUCUACCUUCUAGUUAAUUAAUGUAAAACUAAAAAAUCCGUCUAUAUGUUGGAAUUGUAAAUAUUUGUCAAAACGAACUAUUCCACUGUCGUUACUAACAAGUACACCUUAUUAUUUAGCUUUAUUUAAAAUUAAGUUUAGAAUAAAUCAACUUAGGAGAAUGAACCUUAAAAAGAAAAAGAAAAGGAAAAAACUCAAGAGAAUGAAAAAUUAGAUUGCAGAUGUACUAUAAACAUUGACUUCUCCCAUCUUUGAUCUAAAUUAUGUAGUAUCUCGUUAAAAACAAAACAAAAAAAAAAUUUAACAAACUGAAUUUCUUAGGUCGUUCUAAUUUUGUUACGAGUAAUUAAACAAACUGAAUUUCUAUAGCUUCUUUAAUUUGCUCAAAUGUCAAUUUUCUUUCCAACAACACCUUGUAUCUCUUUUAUUCUCUCCUCCUCGUGUAAGAAUAGCCGAAACAAAUUUAAGGGCAAAUCAUAUCGUCUUUGCACAAAUUCAUAGUUCCAUAGAUAUGAAACAACGACUGUAUAACACCUUUCACUAUCCAAAGGUUGUCUACUGCCCUGCCUAACCAGCAUCUUUUACAUGGCAGCUGAAAUGCAUCGCACCAGCAAUGUAGUUACAGGGUUUCUCCAUUUUCCCCCCAUUAACCAUGAAAGAGCGUAACCUAUUUCUAAUGGGUUUAACAAGAAGCUGAGAGAUUUCAGAGGUUCGAUCGGUUCUGAAAUCUUGAACUGCUAGCUAGAUGAUUUUUUUACUCUAUCUAUGUCCUAGGAAACGAGUCGAAGGUUCUGUAUCUAGUGUAGCUUUUUGUACUGUAGAGCUAAGUAGCCUGCAAUUUUAUUCGUCUGUUCCAAAGUUUUAUGAGGGCAUGCAUUUCAGUUUCUCAGUAAAUAGCAUCUGUUUUUCCUGUGAUAUUGAUUAAAAGGAAGUGUCCAUGUUGGAAAUCAAAGGCGAGCAAAAUCGAAAAUCGGGUUACCUUACACCGAAGCUUUGGUCGCCCCAGAUUUUUCGGAUUCAAUAUUCCAGCUGAAUCACAUGUUUUUGGUUGGGUGUGAAUCAUAAUGGAAAUCACACUUUCCACAACCCAAAUCCUAGGCUAUAUCUUUUAGUUCUUCUAUUUUUCUAGAGGAGGAGAAAACUGGAAGAAGGACUUGAAAGCUCUCUGUUUUUCUUGCUUUUUCUUUCGAUUCUUAUAUAGACAUUUUUUUUGUCGGUCUCUGUUCCCUUUCUUUCCUUAUAGAGACAUUUGUCGGUCCCUAUUUCUUGGUGGGGCGGUGGAAAAAUCUACAUUUUUACUCAUUUUCCUUUCUUUUUGUUUUGUUUCUACUUUCAGGUAGAAACCGGGUUGGACAACCCAUCAUGGGCGUCCACCUAUUUUUCCCACAUUCUCUCACUCGCACAUGAUGGGAUAGAUCCACCUAAAAUCUCCUCAAACUCUACUUUCAAGAACACUACAACCUUCAUACAGGAAAGUGGAUCGUGCGACCUAUGAGCAUACCUGCAUUUUGGGAGCAAAAAAAAAACUAUGCACCUGUUAGGGAGGACAUAGCGGCUUCAACCCGAAAGAAAGUACAAGAAUACAUUAUCUUGUUGUGCCCCAAACUCAUUUCAUCACACCAUCAUAGUAUGCCCAAUCUCUCAAAGCUCAUACUUGAUAUCCAUGGGCCUGUUUGGAACCUGAGUUUUUUGGGAGUUUAUCUAAAACUUUACUAUAGUGCACUGUAGAACUUUUUGAAAAAUUUUUGUAGAAGUUUUUGUAAGGUGAAAAUUUUUUUUAUAGAAGUUUUUGUAAUGUGAAAAAUUUUGUAGAAGCUUUUGUAAGGUGAAAAUUUUUUUUCCUUUUCUUUUUUUUCUUUCUUUUUUUCUUUCUCUUUCUUUUUCUUUUUCUUUCUUUCCUUUUUCUUUUCUUUCCUCUCUUCUUCUUCUUCCUUCCCCCUCCCCCUUCCCCGUUACCUCUGCCUCCCACCUCCAGCACCUCCGCCAGCACCAUCUCUCUUCUUUUUUUUUUCUUUUCUCCUCUCCCCCCUCCGUCUCCCUCCCCCGCCCCGCCUCCGUCUCCCACUCCUUUCCUCGUUCCUCCCCUCUCUGCCCGCCACCCCUCUAUGCCCACCAUCCAUUUCCUCUCUUUUUCCCCGCCACCCCCUCUGCCCCUUCCCUCUCUCCCCUGCCACCCUCUCUGCCCCUUACCCCUCCCCUGUUCCCCUUCCAGCUUCUCACCUUCUCUCUGCCCCUUUCUUUUUUUCACAUUUUCUCUCUCCCUUUCCUCCCGUCUCCUUUCCUUACUCUUGUCGGCAGAUGAAGCAGAGAAAUGAAAUUUUUUUUUUUGGCAAUUUUCCUUCUCCCCCCUCCUCCCGUUUCCCCGCCACCCUCACCCUCCCCUGUACGAUCUGGUCUAGCGACCAAAUGGGCCAAAAGGGAAGGGGAAGGGUGAUGGGGGGAGACGCAGAGAGAACAAAAAAAAGACAGAGGGGAGGAUGGCAGGGAAGGAAGAGGGUGAGAGGGAAAAAGAGCAAAAAAAAAAGAAGACCGGCACCAGAAGAGGUGAUCGGCGCCGAAACCGGCGGCGGAAGUGGUGGUGGGUUGGGGUGGGGGAGGAAGAAGAAGAAGAGAAGGGGAAGGGAAUUUUUUUUUUUGUUUUGGAUAUUUUAAGUGUGUAGGUAAAAAACUUUGAAAAGUUUUUUGAAAUUUCUAUAGCAAAAGUUGUUAAAAAACUAGUAGAUAAAAAAUUUGUCCAAAAACCUGGCUUCCAAAUAGGCCCUAUAUUUCACAAUGCAUUCACAAUUGUAUUACAUCUCAAAUAGUAAAUACAAUUGGUCGACCAGUGAAUACAUGUGAAAUGUGUGACCAAACCAGUCUUCCUAUUACACAUGUAUUACUUGGUAAAACACAAAUGGUUUUCCCAGUCAUGCCCGGAAGGUUGAAUCAAUCAUAACCAUAAGAAACAUGCUAGAGUAGCAAACAUUUAUUUAUCACCUUGUAACAUUGUCAAAAGUCACAUAGGGCACAAUUGAAGGAACUCAUACAAGUGAGGAGGCAGUGAUUUUCCAAAUGAAAACUCACUCACUUUCCUUCUAUGGUCGUCAUAGCACAUGUGGUAUGAAUCACAUGUUAUGGUGGAUAACUCUUUAUAAACAGAGCAUAUGUCUUUAUUUUUCAAAUAGACCACCAUACAAAUCUUGACUCAAGUGCUUUCACAUAAGCGCCUAGUCCAAAAUCUUUAAUAGCUCAUUGUUCUAAGCAUUUCAUUUAGAUUUCGCAUUCGGCUAUAAUCCAAGCUUACAUGAUCGUGGGAUAUCAUGUCUGGUCUGCUUUAUUUAGACCUCAUCUUGACCUUGGUCAAUGCGACAUUUCUAUUGUACAGUCAUAAGUGACACGAAGUUGUCAACUAAUCAAAAACUGUAAUUUAGUCUCAUCUCAGCUCGCUCUCGUAGCGUUUGAGAUGGUCACUUAUAUGAGAAAGUCGACCAAUGCUUGGAGACAUAUUUAUUGAACUAUAUAUCAGUGCUAACAAAUGUAAAUAACAAACAACAUAUCUAUUUCAUUAUAGAUAUGAAAUAUUUACAUUACUAAUUCAAAAUCAUAUAUCUUAUCAUAAUCUACGCAAGUCAAGAGUCUUAACAUGAUACAAGAAGACAUCUCUAGUAAUCGGUUUGGUAAGAGGAUCUGCAACCAUCUUAUGCGUAGAUAUAUGUUGUAAGAUUAUUUUCUUUUGCGCGAUAAUAUCUCUAACAAAAUGAUAUUUAGUGUCUAUAUGUUUCGUUUUACCAUGAUAUUUGGGAUCUCUAGUAUAGUCAAUAGUUGCUUGACUAUCACAAUUGAUCACAACAGGCACAGAGGAAUUGACGCCAAUCCACAAAUUUUGUAAAAACCUCUUUAGCCAAAUAGCUUCUUGUACAGCUACAGCACAUGCAACGAACUCAGGUUCCAUGGUAGAUAAGGCUAUGCAUGUUUAUUUCUUGCUACUCCAAGAUAUGGUGCCAUUAUUUAGCAAGAUUACAUAUCCUGACGUAGAUUUUCGUUCAUCUAGAUCCCCACUCCAAUCCGCAUCAGUGUAACCUACCAAAUGUAGAAUACUACUUUGAUAGCAUAAAACAUAAUUGGAGGUACCUUUAAAAUAUCUCAAUAUCCUUUUUACUGCUCGUCAAUGAGCUGGUCUAGAAUUUGACUAAUAUCGACUUGCUAUUCCAACCGCAUAGCAGAUGUCAGGACGAGUACACAUCAUGGCAUACAUUAAACUUCCUACAGCACUCGCAUAUGGAACUCUUUCCAUAUUUUUAAUUUCUUCUGGAGUUUUAGGACACAUUUCUUUACUAAGGGAAUUGCCUUUCAUUAUAGGUGUGUCGAUAGGUUUGCAAUUUUGCAUAUGAAAUCGUUCGAGAAUUUUCAACACAUAACUCUCCUGUGAGAGAGCAAGAAAUUUCUUCGAACGAUCCCUAAAUAUUUUCACACCAAGAAUAUAUGCUGCCUCACCCAUAUCUUUCAUUUCAAACUGGGAAGAUAACCAUUCUUUAAUGGCAACUACAACAUUUAUGUUGUUUGCAGCCAAUAAAAUAUCAUCUACAUAAAGUGACAAUAUUGCAAAGUUAUCUUCGAAUUGUUUUAUAUAGACACAAUGAUCCUCUUUAAUCAUUGUAAAUUCAUAAGAAAUUAUGGCUCGAUGAAAUUUCAUGUACCAUUGUCUGGAUGACUGUUUAAGACCAUAUAUUGAUUUAAGGAGUUUACAAACUUUGCGCUCCUGAUCUUUAGUAAUGAAACCUAUAGGCUGUUGCAUAUAGAUUUCUUCAUCCAAUUCUCCAUUAAGAAAAGCAGUUUUAACAUCCAUUUGGUGCAACUCAAGGUUCAAAUGGGCAAUAAUAGCUAAGAUAAGACAAAUUGAGGCAAACCUUACAACAGGCGAAAAAGUUUCUUCAUAAUCAAUACCUUCUUGUUGGGUAUAUCCCUUAACUAUCAAACGUGCCUUGAAUUUAUCAAUGGAUCCAUCUGCCUUGCGUUUUAUUUUGAGAACCCAUUUGUUCCCAAUAAACUUACACUCUAGAGGCAGAUUAACUAGAUCCCAAACAUGAUUUAAUUUCAUAGAUUCCAUUUCUUCUUCCAUAGCUUUCUUCCAUUCUGCAUUAUCAAUUGAUGAAAGAGUUUCUUCAAUAGUUCUAGAUUCACUUUUAUCAUGUGGUGCAAUCAUAAAAGCUUCUCCUUCAAUCUCAAAACGACGACGAGGAGUGCUCUUACGAUUGCUUCUACGUAGUUGAAUUUCCUGUGGAAUUGAUUCAUUUGAUGAAAUGUUACUCCUACUCGGUUCAAGAGAAUAAGGAAUCUCCUUAUGUCCCAUAUUAGAACUACUUGUGGUACUUUCAUUAUCAGGAUCUUCCAUUUCAUAUAAAUCAAGAUCCUUGUCAAUUUCACCUCUAGUUGAAAAUUCAUUUUCCGAGAACUGGGCAUCUCUUGAUUAUAUUUCAGUUACACUUCCAUCCACGUGUUCACCAAUGAACACAUAUCCUUUUGAAUGUUCAGAGUAUCUUAUAAAGAUACAUUUCUUGCCACUAGGACCCAAUUUUCCAUACAUAUGACUUGGAUCAUGAACAUAUGCUGCUGACCCCCAGGGUUGCAAAUUGCUUAGAUCAGACUUUCACUUUGUCCAAAACUCAUAUGAAGUAGAAGUAACUGAUUUAGUUGGCACACGAUUAAGUAUAUAUGCGGCAGUCAACAAAGCAUCUCCCCAAUAGCAGUUUGACAAAUUUGCUUGUGCCAUCAUCGACCUAACCAUAUCCAACAAAGUCCUAUUCCUUCUUUCAGCAACACCAUUUUGUUGCGGAGUACCAGGAAUAGUUAAUUGCCUAUUUAUUCUUUUUUCAUCACAUAGAUCUUUAAAUUGAUCUGACAGAUAUUCACGUCCACGAUCUGUUCUCAAUGUUUUAAUCGUUUGGUAUAAUUGAUUCUCAACCAAAUUCAAAUACCGUCUGAAGCAAUCUAAUGCUUCUAACUUGUGGAAAAUCAAAUAAAUAUGAUCAAAACGAGUAAAAUCAUCGAUAAAAGUGAUAAAAUAAUAGGUUCCAUGCCUUACCCUCACGUUCAUUGGACCAUAUAUAUCAGAAUGGAUCAGUUGCAGUGGAAGUUCUGCUCUAGUUUCUUUACCAAAUGAUUUUCUUGUUGCUUUUCCUGCUAAACAAUGCACACAUAUUGACAAGUUUACUUUUGAGUUAUCACCCAAAAGUCCGUCUUUUACUAGCCUAUUCAUUCUUUCUUGCCCAAUAUGGCCAAGUCUAGCAUGCCAUGUAUUUGCAUCAAUAUUAUGACUACCAGAAGAUGCAAUCAAAGAAAAGUAAUAGUCAUAAUUUACAUUUUCUUGUACCACAUCUAGCACAAGAAAGUUAUCCAAAAGGUGUGGGAACCAAAAUAUUGAGUACCAAGACAUAUAUUUACAUCAUGACCAUGAAGACUCAUGCAAAAACUCAAACACAUAAGGACAGUAACUGAAACCAAGUUUCGCCAAAUGUCUGGUACGUACAAACAUAGUUUACAAGUGCCAAUACCCUUAACUGCAACUCUGGCAUUGUUUCCUACAUAUACCCAUUUUGUGUUUGUUGGAAUUCGGCGAUACUCGACAAAAGCUCCUCUUUCUCUAGCUACAUGGUCUGUGACUCCUAAAUCUAGAGUCCAAAGAGGAUUCGUUUCAGCAAGCAUUACAGUGCUAGAAACAAAAUUAUAAUUAAGAGGAGAAUUGAGCAAUACCUUUUUAGGCUCAGUGCAUUCACGAGCAUAGUGACCUAAUUUGCCACAAUUAUAACAAGAUUGAUUGCUCUUGUCCUUUUUCUUACCACUGCGCUUACUUCUCUUGCGAUUGCCAGUCUGAGUUUUCUUAAAUUCUGGAACAGUCUUUUUGAACACCUUUCUUUUCUUGUUACGUUUGAAGUCACGUUUGAAGUCAGAGGGCUUACUUGUGUUUGACUCAGCAACAUAAGCCUGUCCGAAAGAUCUAGCUGCCUCUAGGCGCUCAUCCUCUAAUUCAACAUGAUGUCUUGUAUCUUGAAAUGUUUUGAUGCUAAUGUUGUGAGUAAUGUUGACUUUCAUAUGCUCCCAACUCUGGGGAAGUGAUCUAAUGAUAGCUUGCACUUGUUGCUCAUUAGUCAAUAUAUGUCCAGCAGACUUCAACUCAGUAAUCAUGUUUGACAUUUCUCUCAGAUGCUGCUUCAUUGAGUGAUGUUGUUUUUUCACAUAAGUGUCAAACUUGAUUGUCAGCUGUCUGACUUUAGUAGAUGAAGUCACUCCAAACUUUGCCUUCAAAGUGGUCCACAGUUCAUGAGCUGUUGGAUAAUUCUCAUACUCAACCAUCAGAUCAUCUUGCAUACUACUCAAUAGCGUGAUGCGAGCAUUACUAUUUUUCUUUUUCCAAGCUUGAUAAGCCUCUAGAUUCUUCUGAUGGUGAGGAGUAUCCCUAUACUCUGGUUCACUCAUGGUAUGAUGGAGAGCCUCCAAAUAUUCUUGCUCUUCAAGAAUAUACUGAACUUUUCGAUGCCAAACAUCGAAAUUAUCUCCGUUCAGUUUCUCUCUUUUGUUUAAUUCAGCCACAAUAUUUUUUGUCGCAAUAGCCAUGUUCUCAAUCAAGCUACACAUAGACAAAAAAUGCAAAAAAAGAAAAAAAAUAGCACUAAAAAUAUAUUAUUCAUUUGCAGCCAAUAUUACUGAAAUAAUAUUUACUAGAAGUAAUUAGUACAAGAUCGAAAGUCCGCAUAGCGUCCAAUCAUCUCUUGUAAACUAAAACUUCUUUAAGUAGUAUUAUUCCAAUAUAUUCAUGCUAAUUUUUUGGGUGAAAAUUUUAACUCAACUAACCCAUGCCUCACACUUGAAUAAAACAUAGAUAGCAAUAACAUAAAAUGCAUACAUCAACAUACAUUUAGUAUGUAUUAAUAUUCAUGAAAAAAAUGCUUUUUCUCAAAUGAUAGCAUAAUUCAAUAAUUAUUCAUAGACAAAUUGAACUAGGUAUCCCUAAUUAAAACAUUCCAAAUAGAACGCACGCAUGAUUUAAAUAUAUAAAUCAUACCCAAAAAAAAUUAAGGACUUAAAUACAAGCCUUUAUUCCAAUUUUUUUAAUUUUAUGAAUCUAAAAAAAUUUUUGAACUAUUUUCUAAUGGUAACUUAUAGUUCAAAUUAUCAUAUAUUCCAAGAGAGCAAAAAUCAAGAAAAAUUUGGCGCAAGAAUCAUAUUUUUCUGAUUCAUAGAUGAUUUUCUGCAAAUUUUCAAAGAAAAUCUUUUUUUUUUAGCUAGAACAGCCCCAGCCACACAAUAUGGCAAGUGUUUUUACGUGCCUGUCAUCUUCUUCAAUAGUUCACAUAAGUCAAUGAAGAUAGCUAUAGGUUAUGCGACUAGGGACUCUAGAACUCAGAUUUCUCAUUGUCUGAGCAUCCGUUUUGCGCACAUGAUAUAGCAUUGGAAAACUCUUUCAGAGUACUACAUAAAUAUGUAAUAAAACAUAUUCAAUUCUGCACACACAAUUCACAGAAAUUCUCCGAAAACAGCUCGACAACACAUAUGUAAACUUUAAAAAACUCAACAACAAGAGAGAAUUAAACCAUGAAAUUUUGCAGGUAUAUUCUAACCCACAUGAGGAACAUAUUCCAUGAAUUUCAUGGCUUGAAAUUAUGUGUGCCAAAAUCGGCCAUUAAAGCUCAUGCUUUAAGCUUUAACCAAAAAACCAGCGUAAAGCACUUCUCAGAGCAUGGCUUAGCAAGAAUUCAGCCUUAGAAGCUCUGAUACCAUUGUUUGAAAUCAAAGACGAGCAAAAUCGAAAAUCGGGUUACCUUACACCAAAGCUUUGGUCGCAGCGGAUUUUUCGGAUUCAAUAUUCCAGCUGAAUCACAUGCUUUUGGUCGGGUGUGAAUCACAACCCAAAUCCUAGGCUAUAUCUUUUAGUUCUUCUAUUUUUCUAGAGGAAGAUAAAACUGAAAGAAGGACUCGAAAGCUCUCUGUUUUUCUUGCUUCUUCUUUCGAUUCUUAUAUAGACAUUUUUUUUGUCGGUCUCUGUUCCCUUUCUUUCCCAUUUUUUUUGUUCCUAUUUUUUUUGUCGGUCUCUAUUUCUCGGUGGGGCGGUGGAAAAGGCUACCUUUUUACUCCUUUUCAUUUCUUUUUGUUUUGUUUCUACUUUCAGGUAGAAACCGGGUUGGACAACCCAAAAUGGGCGUCCACCUAUUUUUCCCACAGUCCAUGAAGGCAUUUGCAGUAUUCAAUCGUUCAAACAAAUUCACUUGACAAAGGAAUGGCUACUCAAGCAACUAGUAGGAGGGCUUUAACAUCUCUAUAUGGAAACAUUCUUAACACAAUUUCUUCUUCUUUUUUGUGCAGGCUUAUCUUAGGGUUCUUUCAGAC